CAAUAGCGUAUAUUAAAGUUGUUGCAGUUAAAAGCUCGUAGUUGGAUUUGUGGUGUGUCCAGUUGGCCUUUGCUCUUUGAGUGAUAGUGCUUUACUGGUCUGCCAUGUUUGGGUGGAAUCUGUGUGGCAUUAAGUUGUCGUGCAGGGAUGCCAUCGUUUACUGUGAAAAAUUAGAGUGUUUAAAGCAGGCUUUUGCUAUGAAUACAUUAGCAUGGAAUAAUAAUAUAGGACUUUGGUUCUAUUUUGUUGGUUUCUAGGACUAAAGUAAUGAUUGAUAGGGAUAGUUGGGGGUGGCUAGUAUUCAGCUGGCCAGAGGUGAAAUUCUUGGAUUCGCUGAAGACUAACUUAUGCGAAAGCAUUCACCAAGGAUGUCUU
rnacentral:rRNA from 1 species